CGACUUAUAUCAUAGACACGAGCUCCUGAUUUUACAAGAGAUCCCGAUACUUGGUGGUGCAAUCAUUUUGUCAAACAUCUAGUAUUCUUCAGCUGCAUAUAGAAAAGAACAGAUUUUUUUACUUUUUUGUAGAAUAUGCAGUUAUACAUACUAAAAAUGGAUCUACGGAUACAAAAAAGUGGAGAUAAAAAAUAGAGAUAGUGAGACAAAUGUGGUAAAAUUGAAUACGAAGAGGGUUUUAUAGAGGACAGUUUUUUCCGUGUGAUGACUCUCACCAUUGAGAUAAAAGCCCCUUCUUAAAUUUGAAUGUACUGUAGGUAAACUAGAACAAGGCUAUGGAUGCUAGACACUUCAAUUUAGUGUAAAAAUAUUGGCAAAAUUGAGUACAUGUGUCGGACUCUUCAAAGUACCCGUGUUUGACUUGGACACUCUAUCUGAGUCCAUGUAACUUGGAACUAAAUCAUUUCUUUAAAUAUAGUUGAAAAUGAGGCUGUGAAGAACCAUCAAUUGAAAAGCAUGAAUUUUGAUGAAUGACGACAGUCAUCUCAGAUAGAUCUUUAUUCUCGAGAUUAACUUGUACGCAGGAUAUUGAGAUGGUUAAAUGAUGAGGAAGAAAAUUUGAAAGCAGAACACCAACCAAACAUUCAAUUUUUAAUUGUAGAGAUGUCACGUAAGCAAUUUCUUACCUGUUUUUCCCUCAGUUAUAUUACCAUUUUGUUACUGUAUUUUCCUUGGACUAAAUCUCAUGAUUCUUCACCUUUGCAGCCAUUACAGACAUCGACACUAGCGGAAUCCAUGCUUUGGAAGAGCUGCACAGGAGUCUCCAAAAGAGAGAUGUUCAGGUAACUAUAAUUAGUACAUAGAUUUUAUUUACCUUGGCAGAAAGCUCAAAUCUUAGGAGCUAUGUUUCACAGACUCCGGAUGGAGUGUCUGGUUGGAUACGAUAUUUUGUAAAUUCCGACACGAGUGGUCCUCAAAUUUGUUAAUUUUACACUAAAAUAAAGUGUCCAGUACCUAGACCCUUAUAACUCGUUUGAGUGUUGGACAUGGAUACUUUAGGAAACAUUGCUUAUAAGAGAUGUUCGUGGAAAAAUUACCUUAUAAAAUCUUCUUGUUCACAGCUUGUUCUGGCGAAUCCCGGGCAAACAGUGAUUGACAAGUUACAUGCUUCUGGAUUCCCAAGUUUGAUUGGAG
rnacentral:lncRNA from 1 species